CAUCUCCACACUCCAAUAGCAUUUAUAUUGUAUUCCUGUAGAAAUAGAUAGUGAACAGAUGCUGUGCAAUCGGUACCUCUACUUUCCUUGUCCCCUGAGCUUUAAGAGGUCCGUCAGACCCAUAAACCAUCUCAUCGUCAGAUCACUAUACGGUAUUUCUCACCUUCAAACAAUGGAAUUCGACGAAAUCAACAAGCACAAGAGCUCUCUGGAUUUUCUCACUCACAAACCUUAUACUCCUCCUUCCUGGGCCUCCCAUCUCAAUCCCCUUCCUUCUCACCACUUCUCUCUUGGUCAUCUUCCUACUCCUAUUCAUCCAUGGAAGCUUCCUAAUUUGCCCAAUGGCACUGAGCUCUGGUUGAAGCGCGAUGAUCUAUCGGGCAUGCAAUUGAGUGGGAACAAAGUAAGAAAGUUGGAAUUCUUGAUGGCCGAUGCAGUGGCUAAUGGCGCUGACUGUAUCAUUACAAUUGGAGGCAUUCAAAGCAACCACUGCCGUGCCACUGCUGUUGCUGCCAAGUACCUUAAUCUUGACUGUUACCUUAUACUUCGCACUUCAAAGGUUCUUGUGGACCAAGAUCCUGGAUUGACGGGCAAUCUCUUGGUUGAACGUCUCAUUGGAGCUCAUGUUCAGCUUAUUUCGAAGGAGGAAUACGCACAAAUUGGGAGUGUGACUCUCACUAAUAUCUUAAAAGAAAAGUUGCUGAAGGAAGGGAGAAAACCAUAUGUUAUUCCCGUUGGUGGAUCAAACCCCAUAGGAACUUGGGGUUAUAUUGAAGCAACAAGGGAAAUUGAGCAACAAGUUCAGGCUAGUACUGGCAGAUUAAAAUUUGAUGAUAUUGUUGUAGCAUGUGGCAGUGGAGGUACGAUCGCUGGUCUGUCGCUAGGAUCUUGGCUUGGUACUUUGAAGGCAAAAGUUCACGCAUACUGUGUCUGUGAUGACCCUGAUUACUUUUACAACUUUGUUCAAGCCCUUACUGAUGGACUCAAAGCAGGAGUUAACUCAAGUGACAUUGUGGACAUUCAAAAUGCCAAAGGUUUGGGCUAUGCAAUGAAUACCUCUGAUGAGCUUCAGUUUGUCCGGGAAGUUGCUACAGCUACUGGUGUUGUUCUGGAUCCAGUUUACAGCUAGAAGAGAGAAUGUGAUGAUUUUUCAUCUUGAGGAUAUUCCCGUGUUAUAAAAAGCUGAAAAGCUAGAGGUCAUGUGUGGUUGAUGCUUUUGAAGAUCGGCUAGUGGGAAAGCAGCUUAUGGUAUGAUGAAAGACAUGAAAGAGAAUCCAGAAAAGUGGGAGGGAAGAAGGAUCCUCUUCAUACACACUGGUGGGCUUCUGGGAUUGUAUGACAAGGUCGAUCAGAUGGCUCCAUUGGUGAAAAACUGGUCCCGAAUGGACGUCGAUGAGUCAGUACCAAGGAACGAUGGUAUUGGCAAAAUGUUCUAGAAAGCAUCCCUAUCCAAAUGCAUCACUUGGCAGUGCACGAUAUCUUUGUGCUUAUUUUUAUUUAUUCUCGAGUUGAUCAUAAGAUUGUCCUACUGAUGUCGGUUAUGGAAUGCUCCAUGUCAUUCAUCUUUCUUCAGCUCAAGGCAAUGCGUUGCACCUUACUUAUUCAGUACUAAA